CCAUUCGUAACGCUGAAUUUUCUGGAAUGGAAAACGGGGGAACCAAUUGAUUGCACUGUACCGAUGUGAGAGUCGGUGCAGCCGCGAUCCGGGGUGAAUCCUGAAAGAAGCCGCCAUGGAUGCUUCUUUCGGGUAGGGCGACUCUCACCGCCCGAAUCCGUCAGCUAACCUCGUAAGCGUCGUGAACCGCAGGU
rnacentral:sRNA from 1 species